rnacentral:rRNA from 1 species
GACGAACGCUGGCGGCGUGCUUAACACAUGCAAGUCGAACGGAAAGGCCCUGCUUUUGUGGGGUGCUCGAGUGGCGAACGGGUGAGUAACACGUGAGUAACCUGCCCUUGACUUUGGGAUAACUUCAGGAAACUGGGGCUAAUACCGGAUAGGAGCUCAUGCUGCAUGGUGGGGGUUGGAAAGUUUGGGCGGUUGGGGAUGGACUCGAGGCUUAUCAGCUUGUUGGUGGGGUAGUGGCUUACCAAGGCUUUGACGGGUAGCCGGCCUGAGAGGGUGACCGGCCACAUUGGGGCUGAGGUACGGCCCAGACUCCUACGGGAGGCAGCAGUGGGGAAUAUUGCACAGUGGGCGGAAGCCUGAUGCAGCAACGCCGCGUGCGGGAUGACGGCCUUCGGGUUGUAAACCGCUUUCGCCUGUGACGAAGCGUGAGUGACGGUAAUGGGUAAAGAAGCACCGGCUAACUACGUG